AUGAGAACUUUCUACUGGAAUUGUCGAGAGAUUGGUGACCCGUCAACAGUUCGAGAGCUCAAGGAUCUCAUAAGGGGGUGUGCAUCGGAGGUGGUUUGUCUGGUAUACACUAAGUUAUCAAAACAAAUAGUUAAAGGUAUGACUAGAGUUUUGGGGUACGAUGGUGGGUAUGCAAUGGGUACUAGUGGAAGAAGUGGCGGCCUAGCUAUUUUUCAAAAGAGCCCGAUCAGUAUGAGGCUAUUGAAUUUUUCAAAAUACCACAUUCUUUUGAUUAUUUCAAAAUCGAGUAAGGAGUAG
rnacentral:rRNA from 1 species